rnacentral:rRNA from 1 species
UACGGAGGGGGCGAGCGUUGUCCGAAUUUACUGGGCGUAAAGGGCGCGUAGGCGGGAGGUCAAGUCCGCUGUGAAAGCCCGCAGCUCAACUGCGGUUAGUCGGUGGAGACUGGUCUUCUUGAAGGUGCUAGGGGGAGAUGGAAUUACCGGUGUAGCGGUGAAAUGCGUAGAGAUCGGUAGGAACACCUGUGGCGAAGGCGGUCUCCUGGGGCACUCUUGACGCUGAGGCGCGAAAGCUGGGGGAGCGAACGGG